AUCUAUGCUCCUGAUGCAUACUACCAGAAGAGGACACAAUACUUCAUCUCUGUAACAGCAAUAUUUCAAGUCAGUAGUACUGUCGUUUGAAGAACAUUGUAACUGAUUUUAAAAUAUGAUGGGAAUAUAUAACUGGAUUCCUAAGUUGAACUUAACAAAAACAUAAUCUUUCCUUAAACCGGAUACCUGUGUCGAGGAGAUCACUGCCACAGCUCUCCGCAAAGAGACCAACUCUUUCAUCACAUACAUUCCUGUUGAGUGCUUGACACAUCCAAUCUCCAACUAAAAGACCCGACGGAAAUUUGCUGCAUGUUGUGUAUCCGUUCGUCCAUAUAUCGACCUGCAGGAGUAAAGACAUUUUGUAGAACCCUGCAAAAUUUAUCUAAUAUAGAAAGAGGGAUAUGUGAUAUUGUUUUAUAAUUGAAAUAAAGAAAAAAAUUUAAAAUGCU